rnacentral:rRNA from 1 species
GAUGAACGCUGGCGGCGUGCUUAACACAUGCAAGUCGAACGAUGAAGCCGGAGCUUGCUCUGGUGAAUUAGUGGCGAACGGGUGAGUAACACGUGAGUAACCUGCCCUUGACUCUGGUAUAACUGCUAGAAAUGGUAGCUAAUACCGGAUACGACCCUCGGAGGCAUCUCCAGGGGGUGGAAAGCAUUUCGGUCAAGGAUGGACUCUCGGCCUAUCAGCUAGUUGGUGAGGUAACGGCUAACCAAGGCGACGACGGGUAGCCGGCCUGAGAGGGUGACCGGCCACACUGGGACUGAGACACGGCCCAGACUCCUACGGGAGGCAGCAGUGGGGAAUAUUGCACAAUGGGCGCAAGCCUGAUGCAGCAACGCCGCGUGAGGGAUGACGGCCUUCGGGUUGUAAACCUCUUUUAGCAGGGAAGAAGCGAAAGUGACGGUACCUGCAGAAAAAGCACCGGCUAACUACGUGCCAGCCGCCGCGGUAA